rnacentral:lncRNA from 1 species
GCCAGCGGCUUGAGGGCGUCCUCGGUCUGCGCAUAGGCCACGAUCAACUUGUCGCACCGGUAGGCAAACGAACCCGUGACCCUGUUGCCGCCACCGCCACUGGGCGCCGACAGGGUGCCGCCGACGAUGACGGGCAGCCGCGGCGAGUAGGGUCGCACGGCAAUGAGGGUCCUGGCGUUGACCAGGACAUUGUCGGCGCUGUCGGCCGUCAGGUAGGCGCGCAUGCCGUCAUAGAUGCCGCGGCACCCGCCGGCGACGACAAAGCCCGCAUAGGGCACUGAAAAGAUGCGCGAGAUCGUGGGCGACAGGUUGAGCAGCGCGUAGAGCGUGGUCAACUUGUCAAAGGCGCCCAGGCCGCCGCCCGACAGUUGCGGCACAAAGAGCGAGGGCACGAGCGGACCCAGUUGGUGCGUGGCGAUAAACUGCGAAAAGGGCACCAGCAGUUCGGCGGGCACCGGCGAGGGCACGUCGGCGCGGUCGAUCCACGGGUACGAGGCAAUGAUGACCGACAGCCGAUAGUAGGCCGCGAGGAACUCGGGCGUGGGCGGCGCGGGCGGCUGGAAGCCAUAGGAGACGCCCUGGCGCAGGUUGACGGCAUAGUUGGGCGUCGUGUCCACGGUAAAGUCGAGCGGG